rnacentral:rRNA from 1 species
CCUACGGGAGGCAGCAGUGAGGAAUAUUGGUCAAUGGACGAGAGUCUGAACCAGCCAAGUAGCGUGAAGGAUGACUGCCCUAUGGGUUGUAACCUUCUUUUAUAAAGGAAUAAAACGAGGCACGUGUGCCUUUUUGCAUGUACUUUAUGAAUAAGGAUCGGCUAACUCCGUGCCAGCAGCCGCGGUAAUACGGAGGAUCCGAGCGUUAUCCGGAUUUAUUGGGUUUAAAGGGAGCGUAGAUGGGUUGUUAAGUCAGUUGUGAAAGUUUGCGGCUUAACCGUAAAAUUGCAAUUGAUACUGGCAGUCUUGAGUACAGUUGAGGUAGGCGGAAUUCGUGGUGUAGCGGUGAAAUGCUUAGAUAUCACGAAGAACCCUGAUUGCGAAGGCAGCUUACUAAACUGUGACUGACAUUGAUGCUCGAAAGUGUGGGUAUCAAACAGGAUUAGAUACCCGUGUAGUC